rnacentral:rRNA from 1 species
AGUGAACGCUGGCGGUAGGCCUAACACAUGCAAGUCGAACGGCAGCACAGUAAGAGCUUGCUCUUACGGGUGGCGAGUGGCGGACGGGUGAGGAAUACAUCGGAAUCUACUUUUUCGUGGGGGAUAACGUAGGGAAACUUACGCUAAUACCGCAUACGACCUACGGGUGAAAGCAGGGGAUCUUCGGACCUUGCGCGAUUGAAUGAGCCGAUGUCGGGUCAGCUAGUUGGCGGGGUAAAGGCCCACCAAGGCGACGAUCCGUAGCUGGUCUGAGAGGAUGAUCAGCCACACUGGAACUGAGACACGGUCCAGACUCCUACGGGAGGCAGCAGUGGGGAAUAUUGGACAAUGGGCGCAAGCCUGAUCCAGCCAUACCGCGUGGGUGAAGAAGGCCUUCGGGUUGUAAAGCCCUUUUGUUGGGAAAGAAAAGCAGCAGGUUAAUACCCCGCUGUUCUGACGGUACCCAAAGAAUAAGCACCGGCUAACUUCGUG